rnacentral:rRNA from 1 species
CACCGCAAUGCGAUAAAUGGGGUGAAUUGUGCAAACCCCCGAACCAUCUCGUCUUUGAGAACACGUUGCGCCCGAGGCCAUCACGCCAAGGGGACGCCCGCCUGGGGAUUUUGAGACUCAUAUCUCCCUUAUAGAGGCUGUCCCUACAUACUGUGCACCCGGUGC